CUUACCUAGGGUUGUUACUAAAUUAUUUUAAAAGGAUAUAUAUUCUGCUCCUGCACUCUCACUUCUGUCUCUCUCAGACUAAUUGCUUCCUGAGCUAGGAAGAGCGUCCAGACAGAGACCUAGGAAGUUUGAUAUAUUGGGAUCCUUCAACUGCCGGGAUUCCAGAUGAUAAAUAAACUGCACGGUGGAAUUUGAAUCAACCUAUUCAGAGACUUGAGAGGAGUAAGAGGGGGAGCCCCCAAGGACCAGGCAGACUCCGGCGUGGGAGCGGCAGACAUUUACCUGAGGUGGGCAGAGUGCCAAGCCCUGGCAUAGCGACUGGUGUUGGAGGCCUGGAGACAAGGAGGGUUCUGGGAGAGAAGGCGAGCUCACUUCUACAGACAACUCUCCUCGCUGGCCACACCAUGCUCUAUAAACACCCUGCACCAUCUGUGAUGUCAACCACCGGCCGCCUGGAGAACAUGCCCUGCUCUAAAAUAGGUCAUGUACUCCUUUCCAACUGAGGACCACCUUAUUCAUCCUCCAGUCUCAACAGUGUAUGAUCGGCACCACCCCAUCCAAGAUUGAGACAUUAAAUAAGUUUACCAAGAUCAUAUAGCCCAUAAAAAGAACAGCUGGAAUUUGAACUUGGUUCUCCGUGACUUCAAAGCCCAAAUUCUUUCUGCUGCAGCAUCCUGCCUCUACAAAGAGUGAAAAUCCCAGGGCAUGGCUAUUAAAGGAGAAUUUGAGCCAGUUUUUAUCCUGUGCCCAGGGCACACCCUGCCAAUGUCUUCCCUUUCCUCCCAGACAGAUACUGAUGGG
rnacentral:lncRNA from 1 species